UAUCUAAUCCUGGUAGAGCACUGAGCACACCGCCUGGGGAGUACGGUCGCAAGAUUAAAACUCAAAGGAAUUGACGGGGACCCGCACAAGCGGUGGAGCAUGUUGUUUAAUUCGACGCAACGCGAAGAACCUUACCUACACUUGACAUACUCGUCGGGACUUUCAGAGAUGAUUGUCUUCGGUUCGGCCGGACGAUGUACAGGUGCUGCACGGCUGUCGUCAGCUCGUGUCGUGAGAUGUUUGGUUAAGUCCAGCAACGAGCGCAACCCCUAUCGUAUGUUGCCAGCAUUCAGUUGGGCACUCAUGCGAGACUGCCGGUGUUAAGCCGGAGGAAGGUGGGGACGACGUCAAGUCAUCAUGGCCCUUACGUGUAGGGCUACAAACGUGCUACAAUGGGAGUUACAGUGGGCAGCGACGUCGCGAGGCGAAGCUAAUCCCUAAAAGCUCUCUCAGUUCGGAUAGGACUCUGCAACUCGAGUCCUUGAAGUCGGAAUCG
rnacentral:rRNA from 1 species